AAAUCUCUAGAAAUUGUGUGGAAGACAAGAGAACUGAAAACAAAAAGGGGAAAGAGGGGGGACUUUUGUUUCUCCAAAUUUUUCUAAACUCGAUCCGCUGAAACCCCUAUAUAUUUCAGUGAAAUAUCUAAACAAAAACCCUAACAGAAACCAAAACUACCACCACCAGACAAGUGCCCUAGAAUGUAGUGUUAAAAUAAAAUUGCAGAAAUCAGCAUCAACAACUUCACCAAAACCUCAAAAUGCCCCAUUUUCUUAGAAAAAUGAAGAAAAGAAAUAAGACCUAGAAUCAAUGCCACUCUAAAGACUCUUUUAAUCUUGAGUAAGGGCAGUUCGAAAAUUGA
rnacentral:misc_RNA from 1 species